rnacentral:lncRNA from 1 species
AGAACCGGCAGCCCAACCACCACAUAUGAUCCAUACCAUUUAAUACAUAUAAAUUGUGAUAGGAUUUCCUAAUCCACCUAACCCCUUUCUUACCUAAACCUUCUAACACCUGAGAGAUGUUUUCACUGCAUUUCAGCUUCCAAAUGACCUUUCUCCUCCUUUGGAUUAUCGACACUUUACCCAAAUCGACAACCAUGUUCCUUAAAUAAGCUUUCAAAUGUAAGCUCAUCUGUUUAUCAUUCCUUUGUCUAUUCAAAUCCAGUGGUAAGUGUAAGUGGAAUCUCUUUUUUGUUGAGGGUGCUCGUUCAAGAUUGUAGGUAUCCGUCACCAACUAUGUAACAAACAACUUCCAACUUUGCAUUUUAUUUCUCUUCUGAAUGAACUAUCUUUGCAGGUGAAACACAUGGUGGAGUGCAAGGAAAUCUUCACAGUUCUUCCUAAUGGUGCCAAAUUCCUCCAUCAGAUUACACAUGUCAGAUCUGACCCUAUCCCCUUUAUUUUUGCCAAGUCCUUUUUAAAGGUUGUAGAUUGAUAGGCUAUUUAUCAUUUUCAAUUUUUUGUUACCUAAAGGCAAAUGGAAAUAUGCAAAUAUUCUAUGUGAAGAAACUAUAUUUUUAGCCUUCGUAGUAUAACUCCCCGAGAGUAUACCCAGGGUGUCACAUGGUGCUUACAGUCCCGAGGGACUACAAGCUAACCCAUGAGCUGGUACCUACUGUGAGCACUAAAUAAUAUAAUAACAUAUGCGAAAGAACAACUAAUAAGCCAUAAGGUUUUAGCAACUAAAAUCAAUGCUGGAUCAUGACUUUGGAAACAACUGUCGAAAACUAAUAAAACAAUAAGAAAACUGAUUGACUGUCUAUACUAGUCUGAAAAAGCCUCUACUGACUGACUAUGGAGUAGAUAGGACAAAGCCCCAACUAGCUCCAUCUGAAUAGAAAAUACUGAGAUAUUAAAAUAACUAAGUUAAAUAGACCAUGUCCUCAAAAUAUGAAGACUCACCACUGCUACGACUGGAAAUCCAGAAUGUCUAUGUGCUAUCUGGAAACUGAGCAUCCGAACCUAUGAUAUGAUACAUCAUAGUGCAAAAAAUGUGCGUGUGAUCAGUACUUUGAAUGUACUAGUAUGCAAAAUAAGGUAGGCUGAUAUGUAUUGUUUUAUGUACAGGAGUAUUAACUCAC